GACGAACGCUGGCGGCGUGCUUAACACAUGCAAGUCGAGCGGUAAGGCCCUUUCGGGGGUACACGAGCGGCGAACGGGUGAGUAACACGUGGGUGACCUGCCCUCAGCUCUGGGAUAAGCCUGGGAAACCGGGUCUAAUACUGGAUAUGACUCCAUGACGCAUGUUGUGGGGUGGAAAGCCUUGUGCGGCUGAGGAUGGGCCCGCGGCCUAUCAGCUUGUUGGUGGGGGAUGGCCUACCAAGGCGACGACGGGUAGCCGGCCUGAGAGGGCGACCGGCCACACUGGGACUGAGACACGCCCCAGACUCCUACGGGAGGCAGCAGUGGGGAAUCUUGCGCAAUGGGCGAAAGCCUGACGCAGCGACGCCGCGUGAGGGAUGACGGCCU
rnacentral:rRNA from 1 species